UCGACCGCCUGGGGAGUACGGCCGCAAGGUUAAAACUCAAAUGAAUUGACGGGGGCCCGCACAAGCGGUGGAGCAUGUGGUUUAAUUCGAUGCAACGCGAAGAACCUUACCUGGUCUUGACAUCCACAGAACUUAGCAGAGAUGCUUUGGUGCCUUCGGGAACUGUGAGACAGGUGCUGCAUGGCUGUCGUCAGCUCGUGUUGUGAAAUGUUGGGUUAAGUCCCGCAACGAGCGCAACCCUUAUCCUUUGUUGCCAGCGGUUCGGCCGGGAACUCAAAGGAGACUGCCAGUGAUAAACUGGAGGAAGGUGGGGAUGACGUCAAGUCAUCAUGGCCCUUACGACCAGGGCUACACACGUGCUACAAUGGCAUAUACAAAGAGAAGCGACCUCGCGAGAGCAAGCGGACCUCAUAAAGU
rnacentral:rRNA from 1 species